GGGUUGUGAGGUUAAGCGACUAAGCGUACACGGUGGAUGCCCUGGCAGUCAGAGGCGAUGAAGGGCGUGCUAAUCUGCGAUAAGCGCCGGUAAGGUGAUAUGAACCGUUAUAACCGGCGAUACCCGAAUGGGGAAACCCAGUGUGACUCGUCACACUAUCAUUAACUGAAUCCAUAGGUUAAUGAGGCGAACCGGGGGAACUGAAACAUCUAAGUACCCCGAGGAAAAGAAAUCAACCGAGAUUCCCCCAGUAGCGGCGAGCGAACGGGGAGGAGCCCAGAGCCUGAAUCAGCAUGUGUGUUAGUGGAAGCGUCUGGAAAGGCGCGCGAUACAGGGUGACAGCCCCGUACACAAAAGCGCAUGUGCUGUGAGCUCGAUGAGUAGGGCGGGACACGUGGUAUCCUGUCUGAAUAUGGGGGGACCAUCCUCCAAGGCUAAAUACUCCUGACUGACCGAUAGUGAACCAGUACCGUGAGGGAAAGGCGAAAAGAACCCCGGCGAGGGGAGUGAAAAAGAACCUGAAACCGUGUACGUACAAGCAGUGGGAGCACCCUUUGGGUGUGACUGCGUACC
rnacentral:rRNA from 3 species